GCUUUCCUGUGGCUCAGUUGGUUGAGAAUUGCCCUAACAGCACAAAGGUUGUGGGUUCAAAUCCCGGGGAAAGCA
rnacentral:tRNA from 1 species